rnacentral:rRNA from 1 species
GAUGAACGCUGGCGGCGUGCCUAAUACAUGCAAGUCGAGCGAACAGACGAGGAGCUUGCUCCUCUGACGUUAGCGGCGGACGGGUGAGUAACACGUGGAUAACCUACCUAUAAGACUGGGAUAACUUCGGGAAACCGGAGCUAAUACCGGAUAAUAUAUUGAACCGCAUGGUUCAAUAGUGAAAGACGGUUUUGCUGUCACUUAUAGAUGGAUCCGCGCCGCAUUAGCUAGUUGGUAAGGUAACGGCUUACCAAGGCAACGAUGCGUAGCCGACCUGAGAGGGUGAUCGGCCACACUGGAACGGAGACACGGUCCAGGCUCCUACGGGAGGCAGCAGUAGGGAAUCUUCCGCAAUGGGCGAAAGCCUGACGGAGCAACGCCGCGUGAGUGAUGAAGGUCUUCGGAUCGUAAAACUCUGUUAUUAGGGAAGAACAAAUGUGUAAGUAACUAUGCACGUCUUGACGGUACCUAAUCAGAAAGCCACGGCUAACUACGUG